rnacentral:tRNA from 1 species
UCGGGGUCGCGAGUUCGAGUCUCGUUUCCCGCUCCAAAUUCUUCUCUCAAUAAAAUAUCCACAGCGACGCGAUGCG